GGAUUCCUAUCGGGAUAAAGAAACAGAUGCUAAUACCGUAUAACAAUGACAACCGCAUGGUUGUUAUUUAAAAGAUGGUUCUGCUAUCACUAAGAGAUGGUCCCGCGGUGCAUUAGCUAGUUGGUAAGGUAAUGGCUUACCAAGGCGAUGAUGCAUAGCCGAGUUGAGAGACUGAUCGGCCACAAUGGGACUGAGACACGGCCCAUACUCCUACGGGAGGCAGCAGUAGGGAAUCUUCCACAAUGGGCGAAAGCCUGAUGGAGCAACGCCGCGUGUGUGAUGAAGGGUUUCGGCUCGUAAAACACUGUUGUAAGAGAAGAAUGACAUUGAGAGUAACUGUUCAAUGUGUGACGGUAUCUUACCAGAAAGGAACGGCUAAAUACGUGCCAGCAGCCGCGGUAAUACGUAUGUUCCAAGCGUUAUCCGGAUUUAUUGGGCGUAAAGCGAGCGCAGACGGUUAUUUAAGUCUGAAGUGAAAGCCCUCAGCUCAACUGAGGAAUUGCUUUGGAAACUGGAUGACUUGAGUGCAGUAGAGGAAAGUGGAACUCCAUGUGUAGCGGUGAAAUGCGUAGAUAUAUGGAAGAACACCAGUGGCGAAGGCGGCUUUCUGGACUGUAACUGACGUUGAGGCUCGAAAGUGUGGGUAGCAAACAGGAUUAGAUACCCUGGUAGUCCACACCGUAAACGAUGAGUGCUAGGUGUUUGAGGGUUUCCGCCCUUAAGUGCCGCAGCUAACGCAUUAAGCACUCCGCCUGGGGAGUACGACCGCAAGGUUGAAACUCAAAGGAAUUGACGGGGACCCGCACAAGCGGUGGAGCAUGUGGUUUAA
rnacentral:rRNA from 1 species